AGUGGUAUCAGAGCAGAGCUACGAGCCAACGGGAUGUCAAAAACUCAGGAGGAAGCGCUAAGGAGAGAGCUCACUGAGUUGGGGAGUGUGGUAAGAACAUUUGCUAAUAAGCAUGAUGGGGUAGAACAGACUGUGAGGGCAAUAGAGCACAGGCAGGAGAGCACAGAAAGAGCCAUCAAAAACUUAGACCAAAAAUAUGAAGGUAUGAUGAACAUGAUGGCCCAAAUUAUGUCCAAAUUGAAUGAUAAGGGGAAGGAGGUAGGGGACAGCCACUCAGGAAAUGGUCAGAUCAUAGAAGGAGUUAAGGAGAAAUGUGCAGGGAAGGGAGGAUCCAGACUGCCUAGGAUGGAAUUCCCUGUGUUUGAUGGGACCAAUCCUAGGGAAUGGGUGAGGAGAGCUAAUAAAUAUUUCCAGAUAUAUGAAGUAGAGGAAGAAAUGAAAACUGAUAUAGCUCAACUCUACCUCAAGGAUAGAGCAGACAUCUGGUUCCAUGGGAUGUACUCUGAAAGAGGAGCAGUCCCAUGGAGAGAGCUGUCCUUAGCAAUCUGUGAGAGAUUUGGAGAGGGAGAUCCACAGGAGGCCAUCGAGGAGUUCAACAAAUUGGUACAAACAGGCAGCAUAGCAGACUACCUGGAAAAAUUUGAGAUGCUGAAAUCACUGGUAAUGAUCUCACUCCCUGGACAACCUGAUGCUUAUUAUAAAUCCUGUUUCCUUAGUGGCCUUAAGGAGGAAGUUGUCAACAUGGUCAGAAUGACCAAACCACUAACAUUGGCGGAUGCCAUUGAGACUGCUAAGCUACAGGAAAAGAACCUUGAAGCCAUCAGGAAAGCACAGAGUAGGGGCAUACAGAAAACUCCCUUGCCACCAUUGUCACACACCACUAAUUUCUCCAACAAAAUGAAAUGGCCUAACAACCAGAGACCAGACCCCUAUACCAACAAAAGUACCAAACCAGGAGGACCAUCAACCAAUUACUACAAGGGAAUUACCCCCUCUGAGUUUAGCUAUAGAAGGGAGAAAGGGUUGUGUUUCAAGUGUGCUGAACCUUAUACCUUAGGACACACCUGCAAACAGGCUCAUAUUCACUACAUAAUGGUGGAUGAGUCUACUGAACCUGUCAGCCCAAUAGAGGGGCAAGGGGAGGGUGCUGAGGAGUGUGCUGACUGUCCAGAAGGUGGUAACCUCAAAGAAAACAUUGAGGUCUCCAUUCAUGCUUUAGCAGGGGGGAAUGAACACAAAACCAUCAAAAUGAGGGGAAAACUUGCAGGAAGGGAGCUACUGAUACUUAUUGACAGUGGCAGUACCCACUGCUUCAUGGAUGAAAGUUUGGCACAGGAUCUGAAGAUGCAGACUGCAGGUACAACCUUGACUGUUAAAGUGGCUAAUGGAGAGAGGCUGGAAUCCAGGCAACUCCUACAGGAGGUAGGUUGGGAGAUGCAGGGACACAACUUCCAUCACAAAUUCAACACACUCAAACUAGGCAGUUGUGACUUGAUUCUUGGAGUGGACUGGUUGGCCAAGCACAGCCCCAUCGAAUUUGACUUCCAGCAGCUAACUAUGAAGUUUUUGAAAGAAAAAAAACCAGUAAUACUAAAAGGGGAGGCAGAGAAGCUGAAGUUGAAAGCCAUUAAGGGAAGCAGGCUUGCCAAAUGGAAAAGGAAACAGAACUAUGGAAUCACUGCUCAAAUCUACCUGGUAGAAGAAGGAGGAGGAGACCAGGGACAGAUUCCAACAGAAAUGAGAGAGCUACUGGUGCAGUUUGAGUCCAUUUUUGAUGAGCCACAGGGCAUGCCACCAGUCAGAAGCCAUGAUCAUGCCAUUCCACUAAAGGAAGGAGCAGCACCUUUCAAGAACAGGCCAUACAGAUGUCCUUAUGUGCAGAAGGCUGAGAUAGAGAAGCUGGUCAAAGAAAUGUUACAGAUGGGAAUUAUUCAAACUAGCAACAGCUCUUUUGCAUCCCCAGUCCUAUUGGUGAAAAAGAAGGAUGGUAGCUGGAGAUUUUGUGUUGAUUACAGGCAGCUCAAUGAGCUGACAAUUAAAGAUAAAUUUCCUAUGCCAUUGAUAGAUGAACUGCUUGAUGAAUUGCAGGGCUCUAAAUUUUUCACCAAAGUAGACUUGAGAUCUAAAAGGAUUUCUGGGGUUGACAGGUUAUUAUAGAAAAUUUGUGAUGGGCUAUGGCUCCAUAGCUAAGCCACUCACUAUGCUGCUACAAAAAGAUGGAUUUCGGUGGAAUGAAGAAGCAGAGGAGGCUUUCCAAAGGCUGAAGUUGGCAAUGAGCAACACCCCUGUGCUGGCAUUGCCUGACUUCACCAAACCAUUCAUAAUUGAAACUGAUGCAUGCUAUGGAGGUGUGGGAGCUGUGCUGAUGCAGGACAGGAGACCUUUGGCAUACCUAAGCCAGAGCUUGGGUCCAAGAAACUUAGGACUCUCCAUCUAUGAAAAAGAAUUACUAGCCUUGGUAAUGGCAGUGACUAAAUGGAGGCAUUAUUUGGAGGGACAUCAUUUCAUAAUAAAAACUGAUCAUCAGAGCCUCAAGUACCUGCUGGAGCAAAGGAUAACUACAACACUCCAACAAAAAUGGCUGACCAAGCUUCUGGGACUGAGUUAUGAGAUUCAUUACAAAAAGGGAAGAGAAAAUGUGGUGGCAGAUGCACUGUCCAGGAGAGCCAACUCUGAGGCAGGGGAUUGCAAUGCUCUGGUUUGUGUCAUCCCAGAAUGGAUUAAGGAGGUAAUUGGAAGCUAUGAAGGAGAUGGAGAAACACAGGACAUCAUCAGACAGCUGCUGCUGACUCCUGAUAGCCAAUCAGACUUCACCUACCAAGAUGGUAUACUCAGGAACAAAGGGAAGAUAGUGGUAGGUUCAGAAGGAGAAGUCAGGAAGAAGAUCAUUUCUGCCAUACAUGACUCACAGCUGGGAGGACACUCUGGAAUACAGGCAAGCUACCAAAGGGCCAAACAAUUGUUCCAUUGGAAAGGGAUGCACAAGGCUAUCAAGGAUGCUGUACUACAGUGUGAUGUGUGCAGAAAGUGCAAGGAUGAACACAACGCCUAUCCAGGACUAUUACAACCUCUUCCUAUACCUCAGUACUCAUGGAGUCAUGUAACUAUGGACUUCAUUGAAGGACUGCCAGUAUCUGAAAAGAAGGACACAAUUAUGGUGGUGGUGGACAGAUUCACUAAGACAGCACAUUUCAUCAGUCUCUCCCACCCUUUUGACGCUCCCACAGUGGCUAGACUCUUCAUGGACCACAUCUGCAAGAUCCAUGGUGUACCUCUGAGCAUGCUCUCCGACAGGGAUAAGGUAUUUACUAGCCAUUUCUGGACAGAACUUUUUACCAUGUUGGGGACUGAGUUACAGUUGAGUACUGCUUAUCAUCCUCAAACAGAUGGCCAAUCUGAGAGGGUAAACCAAGUGUUGGAAAUGUAUCUUAGAUGUAUGGCACACUUGGAACCAAAGAGGUGGAAUGCUUGGCUCUCCCUUGCUGAAUGGUGGUACAACACCACCUAUCACACAGCCAUUAAAAUGAGCCCAUUCGAGGCCCUGUAUGGAUUGGCCCCCCCACAGCUAGCUCUGGGAUCAUACAACCAAUCCAGAGUAGCCACAGUAGAGGAACAUCUAAAGGACAGACAGAUAAUGGAUGGAGUACUCAAAAAGAACCUACAGGAAGCUCAGAAUAGGAUGAAGUUUUAUGCUGAUCAGAACAGGAGUGAGAGGACUUUUGAGGUAGGAGAUUGGGUCUACUUGAGGCUACAACCAUAUAGGCAGAUGUCAGUGGAGCUGCGAAGCAACACCAAGCUGUCUGCCAGGUACUUUGGCCCAUACCAGGUUACUCAGAAGGUAGGAAAAGUUGCUUAUAAGCUGCAAUUGCCAGAGGGAACCAAGGUGCACCCUGUGUUUCAUGUAUCUUUGCUAAAAAGGAAACUAGGAGAGAAAGCAACUCCUGUGCUUCAACUGCCUAACAUGGAUGGUAAAGGACAUCUGAGGGUACAACCAACAGCUAUACUGGAUCGCAGAAUCACCAAGAAAGGAAAUGCAGCAGCUGUACAGUGGCUCAUCCACUGGUGGGGAACCACACCAGCUGAGGCUACAUGGGAAGAUUCAGAAAAAAUUGAGAAUGAAUUCCCUGACUUCCAAUCUUGAGGACAAGAUUGUUUGAAGGGGAAACAAUUGUCAUGAAACAGAAGAAUUAAGCUGAAAACAUGGAAUUAGCAAAGGAAGCAAAAAGAAGGCGUGAGUUCAUAAUCACGCCUUCUCUGGGAGAAUGCUCAAGAAACGUGAGCUCAAGUGGGCAAGUGGAUCUGCAAUGGUUCUGCAACCAAUUCUGUUAGCAGGAUCACGAGGACAAGCUGGACCAAGUGGCUGAAGAAUUAGUUAGUAGUUGGCUAUAAAAUGGCCAGGAACAGAGAGGAGAAGGAUAGAAAUUUGUUAGCUCAAUUUUGGGAAUUGUUCCCUUAAGCAUUCUUCUUCUUGUUCUUCCUUCAUUCUUGUCAUUUUUCUUUCCUUUUACCGCCAAUUCUGUAUCAUCUCAAUUCAAUCAAUAUUAAUACUACUUCGAUUGAUUGCUGAUCUAUUCCUGAUUGUUUUCUGCUGAUAAGCAUAAGUUUGUGCAAAUAGAUAAUCCAUUUCAUUAUUAGCAAUUCUAUUGCCUAGUUACUGUUCGAUACCAUCACAGGCGGACGACGACGACGACGACGAGGAGGCGGGAUUCGAGUUCGGACAGCUGUUUCCCCGACACUAGACUGUUUGGGCUACAAAGGUGGGCUUUUUUUAAACUACAGAACUGGACCUCUUUUGGAAUUUAAUUUUUUGAGUCUUGAUAGCCUACUGGACAUAAUCCUUUCUGAAGAAUCAGUCUGGGAAUCUAGCACGCACAAGUUUUUUUUUUUUUUUUUUUUUUUUAAAAAAAAUUCUUUCUGAUUUUUUGGAACUAUUUUACAUUCAAACUUGAAAUUCUCACAAAGGAUGAUUACUGGGAAAGAUAUAGAAAUACUAUUGGAUUUUGAGGACAAAAAUUGCUGCUUUUCAUUCUUGAGAUUGCUAUUGAUGUUUGCUAGAACGAUUCGCAUAUUAUUGCUUUCAGAGUUAGAUCAAGGUGGGUGAUGUAUUGAAGAAAAGAAAAUGAGAUUUACCACUAUGACCAUCAUGCUUAUAUCUUAAGGAAAAAUGUGAUUUUCAUCCCUAGUAUUUAAGAUGUGAAUUGAUUUGGUCCCAAAUCCAAUAUUUAAGCAGAAACACAUCCAGAGGGUUUGUUCUCAGUUAAUUAUUUUAGCUGAUUAUAGAAUCUGAUUUUGAAUAAUCAGUGUUUGUGAUGUUUUUCGAUUGCUUUUGUAUUCUGAUUAUCGAUUUUUUUAAUAGUCAAGAAAAUUAAAAUCUAUAAUCAUUCAAAGAGUAGUUUUUGCUGAUUCUAGUUAUUUUUUAUACUUACUGUCUAUAAUUAGAUUUUGCAAAAUCUAAACCGAAUGAAAACAAGGUACAACCAACUAUUAUUCUUUAAUUUGGACAGAAGUUCACCAAAAUGAAUAAAGUGAUAAAAAUUGAAAAUUGCAAAAUUAAUGGAUGCCUCGAGCACGCCAAAUAGAAGUAUUUCUUGUCUAUAUUAAUUCGUAUGGAACCGAUCCAAUUUACAACUUUGGAUUAAUUAUUUUGCUGAAUAAUCACAUUUAUGCCAAUUAGCAACUCCUCCCUCUUGCUCAUUUUUUCAGUCAUUUCUUUUAGUUGGUUCAUUCUACUCAAUAGACCAGGCCUACUGAUCUUUAACAAAUUGGUUCAUCAUGCCAAGCCAAAAAUUUGCAUCUGCGAUCCCUCUAAAUCAACACCAAAUUUUACGCAAUUUUUUUUCUCUAAAACGUACAAAAAAUUUUAAAUGGAAAAAGCUAAACAAAAUAACGAACAAAUACCAAAAUCUUACCAGUUAUAGAGGAUGUCUGAGGAAACUUCUUCUAGUAUUGUCAACAUGUUGUUAAUUUUGCUCAUACUCCACACUUGUAGAGAAUUGUUCAUAUAUUUUAAUUUGAGAAGUUUUGAUGUAAAAUGUAGGGUUUUAUAGGAAAAAGGGGAAGGGAAAAGUGAAAAUUCGAUUGAUUUUGAUGAAUUCCCUAGCUUGCUCCCUAUGGGGUGCCCUUUUCGUUCAAAUUGAGAGAAUAGUCGUUGAUUGAAUCUAAUUGGAUGAAAUUGAAAACUUAAGAGACUAGAUGUCUUUUUGCCAAAAUAUGGCAGACUAGAGUGAUUCGUCCCCAAAAAAACAAGGAAUGAAAAGUGCAUCUUCCCUAUUCUGUAGUUGCCAAAAUAUGACACUAUAUAUGUAAGAAUAAAAAUUUCUGGUUAACAUGUUUUUCCUUUAGUAAUCUUUUGUAGAGUGCAUAAAGGCAGCCAUUUAUGAGUAAAUUAUCCGAGUGGCAACUAAACUUUUUCAAUAGUUAAAAUUUGGCCACUCGAUUAUUAAUAGUAUAUAUUUAUCUAUUAAACUAUCAAAAGUAUAAAUUUUGAACCAUUCCGUCUGAUUCUACCACCAACUCUGUUAUAUCUAAGUGUCUCCACGAUUUACGAGACAUAUUGUUAAUGGUUACUACUGGCAGAGUUAACUGCAAAAUCUGACGAAAUGAUCCAAAAUCUACACUUUUAAUAAUUUAGUGAGUAAAAAUAUAUUAUUAAUAGUUGAAUGGCCGAAACUCAACUAGUCAAGAAGUUUAAUGGUUAUCUGGAUAAUUUGCUCAACCAUUUAUCACAGGAAUCGCCAUUAAAUUUUUGUUGGUUCAAAAGAAACUCUAGAAAGCAGAAGGCACCUUAUGUGGUGAAAAGAGUGAGUAGAAGGCUUAUAGAGUUGAACAUGGAAUCACUGGGAACCUUUUUUAUUAUUGGUAGCACUCGAACUUGAAAAGAAAAAAAAUAUGAAUACAUGUUCUUACUAUCACCUGUUUAUUGUCUCCAUCAACUGAAUUGACCCGGAAAUUUAGAAGUAUCAUUAAUUAAUGAGAUACGACAUAAUUAUCUUUCACAUUUUUAUGAAUGUUAAAUUUUAGUCCCUUGCACACAAAAUGAACUAUGUUAAUCCCUCAUAGAUCAAAAACGCACUUUUUCGGUUCAUGAACACAGUUCAGUUUUAUUUUUGCCGAAUAUAUUCACAUGCAAACAAAAUUUCAGAAAUUUAAGGGGUGAAAUUGAUAAUUCAUCUAGUUCUAAUUCUUUCUCUUUCUCUUUAUUAGCCUACAAACUCAUUUUCAACUAUUUUUAUCACUCUUUAUUCUUCACAAAAAUUUAAAAAUGCUCAUGAAAUUCAACAACACCCCAUAAUUAUUGACUUAUGAUUAUUUCAAAAUCUGCUGUGAGAAAACAAGUCUAAAAUUUUGGCCACAAAUGACCAAACCAAUCAAAUGGGGCCUAAAAAAUUCCACUUAAGGGAAAACACUUUUUUUUUUUCCAUUUUUUGGGUGGAAACUACACUACUACUACUACUACUAUCACCUCAAACCGGCCGGAGCGGGGGUAGGAAGGGUUGUAAGAAAGUAAUCGUUCCUGAAGGUUCUGGCUAAGAUUUGACAAAAUAAAAAAUAAAAAGUCCAGAUUGUAUCUUGUACAUUAUUUUUUACAACAUGUAUUAAUUUCAUAAAAUUUUAUUUUAUAGUUAUGCGUUAUUGAAAAUAAGUUAUAUCAUGUGUAUAUAAAAUUAUAGUUUAUAUAUUUUAUACAAAACCAACUCGAACAAUUUUCCUAACAAGCAUUCGGACCAUGUACAAGCCGGCCGCACCCAAAUCCACUGACAAAGCCCCAUUAGAUACUACUAAACAAAAUUGAAAGCCUUACUACAGUGGACUGCUUGUCCUUCUCUCCUCCUCAUUCUUGAAGCAGACUAUCAUCCCCCUUAUCCUUUCAUUCUAUCGCAUUCUGAAACACCCAAAACUCCCUCUUCUCUUCUCUUGUCCAGUCUUCUCUCUCGCCCCACACACAAACAUUAGCAAGGAUGGCACUUUGAACAUUGUACUAUAGUCUUAGGCCAAUAUCAAACCUUCAUUGCCUCAAAACAGAAAACUAGAA
rnacentral:lncRNA from 1 species